CAGCAGCCGCGGUAAUACGUAGGGUGCAAGCGUUAAUCGGAAUUACUGGGCGUAAAGCGUGCGCAGGCGGUUAUAUAAGACAGAUGUGAAAUCCCCGGGCUCAACCUGGGAACUGCAUUUGUGACUGUAUAGCUAGAGUACGGCAGAGGGGGAUGGAAUUCCGCGUGUAGCAGUGAAAUGCGUAGAUAUGCGGAGGAACACCGAUGGCGAAGGCAAUCCCCUGGGCCUGUACUGACGCUCAUGCACGAAAGCGUGGGGAGCAAACAGGAUUAGAUACCCUGUAGUCCCUGUCUCUUAUACA
rnacentral:rRNA from 1 species